GAGCUCGAGCCCAGCCCGCGCCCGCGCCGCCAUGCCCCUGGCCUUCUGCGGCAGUGAGAACCACUCGGCCGCCUACCGGGUGGACCAGGGCGUCCUCAACAACGGCUGCUUUGUGGACGCGCUCAACGUGGUGCCGCACGUCUUCCUACUCUUCAUCACCUUCCCCAUCCUCUUCAUUGGAUGGGGAAGUCAGAGCUCCAAGGUGCACAUCCACCACAGCACAUGGCUUCAUUUCCCUGGGCACAACCUGCGGUGGAUCCUGACCUUCAUGCUGCUCUUCGUCCUGGUGUGUGAGAUUGCGGAGGGCAUCCUGUCUGAUGGGGUGACCGAAUCCCGCCACCUCCACCUGUACAUGCCAGCCGGGAUGGCGUUCAUGGCUGCUGUCACCUCCGUGGUCUACUAUCACAACAUCGAGACUUCCAACUUCCCCAAGCUGCUAAUUGCCCUGCUGGUGUAUUGGACCCUGGCCUUCAUCACCAAGACCAUCAAGUUUGUCAAGUUCUUGGACCACGCCAUUGGCUUCUCGCAGCUACGCUUCUGCCUCACAGGGCUGCUGGUGAUCCUCUAUGGGAUGCUGCUCCUCGUGGAGGUCAAUGUCAUCAGGGUGAGGAGAUACAUCUUCUUCAAGACACCGAGGGAGGUGAAGCCGCCCGAGGACCUGCAAGACCUGGGGGUGCGCUUCCUGCAGCCCUUCGUGAAUCUGCUGUCCAAAGGCACCUACUGGUGGAUGAACGCCUUCAUCAAGACUGCCCACAAGAAGCCCAUCGACUUGCGAGCCAUCGGGAAGCUGCCCAUCGCCAUGAGGGCCCUCACCAACUACCAACGGCUCUGCGAGGCCUUUGACGCCCAGGUGCGGAAGGAUGUUCAGGGCACUCAAGGUGCCCGGGCCAUCUGGCAGGCACUCAGCCAUGCCUUCGGGAGGCGCCUGGUCCUCAGCAGCACUUUCCGCAUCUUGGCCGACCUGCUAGGCUUCGCUGGGCCACUGUGCAUCUUCGGGAUUGUGGACCACCUUGGGAAGGAGAACGACGUCUUCCAGCCCAAGACACAAUUUCUCGGGGUUUACUUUGUCUCAUCCCAAGAGUUCCUUGCCAAUGCCUACGUCUUAGCCGUGCUUCUGUUCCUUGCCCUCCUACUGCAAAGGACAUUUCUGCAAGCAUCCUACUAUGUGGCCAUUGAAACUGGAAUUAACUUGAGAGGAGCAAUACAGACCAAGAUUUACAAUAAAAUUAUGCACCUGUCCACCUCCAACCUGUCCAUGGGAGAAAUGACUGCUGGGCAGAUCUGUAAUCUGGUUGCCAUCGACACCAAUCAGCUCAUGUGGUUUUUCUUCUUGUGCCCAAACCUCUGGGCUAUGCCAGUACAGAUCAUUGUGGGUGUGAUUCUCCUCUACUACAUCCUCGGAGUCAGUGCCUUAAUUGGAGCAGCUGUCAUCAUUCUACUGGCUCCUGUCCAGUACUUCGUGGCCACCAAGCUGUCUCAGGCUCAGCGGAGCACACUGGAGUAUUCCAAUGAGCGGCUGAAGCAGACCAACGAGAUGCUCCGCGGCAUCAAGCUGCUGAAGCUGUACGCCUGGGAGAACAUCUUCCGCACGCGGGUGGAGACGACCCGCAGGAAGGAGAUGACCAGCCUCAGGGCCUUUGCCAUCUAUACCUCCAUCUCAAUUUUCAUGAACACGGCCAUCCCCAUUGCAGCUGUCCUCAUAACCUUCGUGGGCCAUGUCAGCUUCUUCAAAGAGGCCGACUUCUCGCCCUCCGUGGCCUUUGCCUCCCUCUCCCUCUUCCAUAUCUUGGUCACACCGCUGUUCCUGCUGUCCAGUGUGGUCCGAUCUACCGUCAAAGCUCUAGUGAGGUGAGGGGAGGGUCCGGGCGAGGGCACUGGGCAGGCAGGUCCUGUGUCAGCCUCAGGGCUUGCUCGAGUGACAGCCAAACCACAGCCGUUUGGUCCCGGAACACACCCCCAUUGCUGGGCCUCGCUGUAGCUGGUCCUGGUUGGUCAGAGGGACAUUGGCCUGUAUGGUUUCCCAGCUCGCCAUCCCUGAGCAAAGACUUGCUUACAUACCUCCCAGGAGAGGGGACUCACUGUCACUUUCACGACAACU
rnacentral:sRNA from 1 species